UCCGGAGUGCCGGCUUGUAGGGAGCGACCUUCACAAGCAUGUGCGAAUGAGCACAAUGGCAAGCAAGCGUAAAAGUCCGUCUCAAAUACCAAGUCCUCAUGUCAAAAAAAAAAAACAUGGAAUAUAUCUAGUAUCUCGAUGGCCUACCACUACGUCGUCAUGUCAAAAACAUGGAAUAAUAGCGGAUAUCCAAGUGGCCUAUCACUAUGUCUCUAUGUUGCAGUUUCAUAGUUUACUACUCUAAGUGCCCCUUUAUGACACUUUUGUUCAUUAUGUCAAAGCAUGAUGAUUAUGUUCAAGAGUACAUAAUUCUAAACAUUUUCCUCACAUGCAACAUGUUUUCCAACUUGGAAAAGAGAAUACUCUAAACAUGCAUGUACUAUACACAUAAUGCUCCACUAUGUAGAGAAGGAUUUUCAUAAUACGCAACACAUGCAUUUUAAGUAUUCAAAAAUUCACAUAAAUCCUAUCUAGCAUGGAAAUGCAUGCAAAAUGAUAAUACAACACAUAUUAACCACUUAGGAGGAAUUUCCCCCUAUUCACGUGAAGCCAAACCCACCAAAAGCUCCGCGCGAGCGUCCGAAACGCUAACGAAGCUUCGAUAAUCACUCCUAGCACCCUAAAAGAUAGGCUAGGGGAGUUACAACAUCGAAACGACAAUUCAUGAGUUCAAACAUUAAGCAACUCAAGGAAAGGGCUAAAAACUCAUCAAAAAUGGUGAAAAUCUCUUGUAGCACACUGGACCUGUGCAAAUUGCGAGGUUCGAAUGUUUGAUUUGGAUCCUGAACUUUUCCACACUUGGUGGAAGGUCGUAGAUGGUAUUCCGACCUAAAAGUUCGAUUUCUGGAGUUUU
rnacentral:lncRNA from 1 species